GUCUGUGAGGGCUGCUGGAGGUAUCAGAAGUGCGAAUGCUGACAUAAGUAACGAUAAUGCGGGUGAAAAACCCGCACGCCGGAAGACCAAGGGUUCCUGUCCAACGUUAAUCGGGGCAGGGUGAGUCGACCCCUAAGGCGAGGCUGAAAAGCGUAGUCGAUGGGAAACAGGUUAAUAUUCCUGUACUUGGUGUUACUGCGAAGGGGGGACGGAGAAGGCUAGGCUAGCCGGGCGACGGUUGUCCCGGUUUAAGCAUGUAGGCGGAGUGACCAGGUAAAUCCGGUUGCUUAUCAACGCUGAGGUGUGAUGACGAUGCACUACGGUGCAGAAGUAGUUGAUGCCAUGCUUCC
rnacentral:rRNA from 1 species